rnacentral:rRNA from 1 species
UACGAAGGGGGCUAGCGUUGCUCGGAAUUACUGGGCGUAAAGGGCGCGUAGGCGGACAGUUUAGUCAGAGGUGAAAGCCCAGGGCUCAACCCUGGAAUUGCCUUUGAUACUGGCUGUCUUGAGUACGGGAGAGGUGUGUGGAACUCCGAGUGUAGAGGUGAAAUUCGUAGAUAUUCGGAAGAACACCAGUGGCGAAGGCGACACACUGGCCCGUUACUGACGCUGAGGCGUGAAAGCGUGGGGAGCAAACAGG